GCAAAAUAUAUUGUGGCCAGUUUAGAAUAUUAAUAGUAUGUAUUAAAAUAAGUUGUAAGAGCAGUUGUUUUGAUAGAAACCAAUUAAUUUGUAAAUAUUUUUAAGUAGUUAUGAAGUAUUUGUUAGGUCUUGGAGAUGGAUGGUAAAAAUUAAAGUUACUCCCUUCAAGGGUUUCUGUCUAUUUGGGAGGCAAAGCUACACAGAAGAAAACAGAGAGAAGCAUAAGAUGGCAUAUGAAUCUGCUCCAUGCUCCAUGGUGCCGACUGUCUUUGUUGGGGAAUGACGUCUGGAAUCAUCUGAGAAGACGUUAUGGAAGUGGUAUCAUUGCAUGAUCCAGAUUUC
rnacentral:lncRNA from 1 species